CUCUUAUCAAGAGUGGUGGAGGGAACGGGCCCUGUGAAGCCACAGCAACCGGUCAGCAUUUUGCUGAUGACAGGUGCUAAGUCCCGCCCUGAAAGAGGGGAAGAUAAGAG
rnacentral:ncRNA from 2 species